UACGUAGGUGACCAGCGUUGUCCGGAUUUACUGGGCGUAAAGAGCGCGCAGGCGGUCGUUCCAGUCGAGUGUGAAAGCCCCCGGCUCAACUGGGGAGGGUCAUUCGAUACUGAUCGACUGGAAGGCAGGAGAGGGAAGCGGAAUUCCCGGUGUAGUGGUGAAAUGCGUAGAUAUCGGGAGGAACACCAGUGGCGAAGGCGGCAUCCUGGACCAUUACUGACGCUGAGGCGCGAAAGCUAGGGGAGCAAACGGG
rnacentral:rRNA from 1 species